GAUUAACGCUAGCGGCAGGCCUAAUACAUGCAAGUCGAGGGGUAACAGGGUAGCAAUACCGCUGACGACCGGCGCACGGGUGAGUAACACGUAUGCAACCUACCUAUAACUGGGGAAUAGCCUUCCGAAAGGAAGAUUAACACCGCAUAACAUCACGAGACGGCAUCGUCUUGUGAUCAAACCUCCGGGGGUUAUAGAUGGGCAUGCGUAACAUUAGCUAGUUGGUGAGGAACGGCUCACCAAGGCGACGAUGUUUAGGGGGUCUGAGAGGAUGAUCCCCCACACCUGGUACUGAGACACGGACCA
rnacentral:rRNA from 1 species